CCCAGCCUGAACCAACAGGUCUUAACUGGGUAUUUGUCAAAUGAGAGCUGGGAGGGAGCUGAGAUGCUUCCUGGGUUCCUGUGUUGAGCAGAACAUGCAGGGAAGUGGUGGGACCAUUUGCUGAGAUGAAAAGAUGAGAGAAGGAGCAGGUUCGGGUAGGAGACUUAAGAGCUCCAUUUGGGAGCUGUUGCAUUGGAGAUGUUUUUGGACAUACAAACAAGAGACAUCAAGCAGGAAGCUGGCUAUAGGAGUCUGGAACUCAGAGGAGAGGUCUGGGCUGGAAAUAUGCAUUUGUGAGUCACCAGCAUAUAGAUGGUAUUUAAAGCCAUGAGUCUGGAUGAGAUCACCUAGGCAGAGAGAAUAUAGAUAGAAAAGAAAAUGCCCAAGGCUGAGCUGGCUAGAGAAGGAGGAGUCCCAACAAUUGGUGAGUGUGGCUCCUAUGCCCAGAGUUAGGGUCAGGUGUACCCCUGCUGAGAGACAGAAUGGAAAGAGAAGUAACCAUUAGAUUUGGCAAAUCCAAGGUCAUUGGUAGACUUGCCCAAAGUGGCUUCAGUGCAGUGGUGGGGACAAAUACAGACCACAAGAGGGUGAAGAAUACAUUAAAGGUGAGAGAGUGGAGACAGCAAGUGUAGACAACUCCUUAGGAGUUGUCCAUCUAUACUAGAACACUGCACAUCCAUGCGUUCUCUCCCCGUGAUUCCGAAGGGCAGAGACCAUGCCCUGGUGAUUUCUAUCUAAGCUGUAAAUGGAAUCCAGCCAGCACAUAGCGGGAGCUCAAUACGUGUAUUUAAUGGUUGGAUGAAUGGAUGAGUGGAUAAUUCACUGUUGGAGUCAAAAGGGCCUUUUCUUGUAGCGAGAGCAGCUGUAUUCUUUUGAGGCAAUAGAGGAAGCUAAAAAAUCAGCCCCAAAGGCUACCGGCUGUGGACCCCUUCUCCCAGCUAACCAGGAGGAGCAGCUGCACACAGGCCUGGGGCUGGAGUCCCCGCCCUGAGUCAGGAGCCAGGCUGUUGAGCCUCUGCACCCCCCACAUGCCCUGCGGUUUUGGGUAAAUCACUUCCUCUUUGAAAGAAGAGAUGAGCAGGAGAAGCAGCCCCCCGCAGGGCCAGUCCCAAAGAGGCCCCUUCGGUGUUAGUCCCCUCCUCCUUUUCCUUUUUCCUUUUUGGACUUUUUCUUGUCUAGGAGCUAGACCCAGAUUGGGGUGAGUACCUCCCAGGGUUGCCGUGCGACACACAGGUGGGCUGGGACCCUGGGGGCCCUGGGGGCAGGAAAGAUGUAGAGGUGGAGCACCCAGCCCAGGAGCGAGCCUCCAUCUGUGGGCAGAGGCUCACACACGCCACGGACACACGCGUGGCUGUGGGGAAGCCACGGCCCUGGGUGUGCCAGAGGCUGUUGAAAAGGCACUUGAGUCGUGAAACUAAGGAGACCCUGAAGUGUCCUUGGGCUUGGGGGAUGGAACAUGUCUGUGACAGACAGGCCUACCUGCCAAUCAGAAGGGAGCUAACCCUUACACCCUAAGCGGCCACAGGGUAUCUGGGGCCACAGGGGUGGGAAUGGCUAUUGGGCAGUGUGACUCAGAGCGGAAACGGGAUGGCCCCUGGGAGAGCCCACCGGCCGCAGAAGGGGAAACUGAGACACAGCGAGGGGAGUCAACCAAGGCUCUGUGGAUGGCCAGGAGACCUGCCUCGGAAUGGGCCCGAGGACUUCCUCUGACAAGCCCCCGGCUGCCAUUCCGCAGCGAUCGGUUUUCCUGCAGCACCAGUUGCAACCUGUGGGAAGAGGCGGGAGGAGGGCCUGGGGGCGCCGGCGGGCGAGGUGAGCAGCCAGGCGCGGACACUGCUGCCACCUAGCGGGGAGGGGCUGUUACUUCUCUUGGUUCCCAGGCCGAGGAACCUCAUUCUCACUCUCAGCUGGGCAAUGAGACCCGGUUUGGGGUUGGAUCUGGAGACCGCUGUUCCCAGAAUUUGGGCAAGAGGGAAGCCUCGGGGAGGAAGGCACACACCCCUGGUUAGUGUGCACCGCUACAUCACUUUUCUUCUCUGUGUCUUGGUUCCUUUCUGUCCGAGGAGAACAAGAGUAACUGCCUCGUAGGGUUGUUGCAGUGGUUAAAUGAGCCAAUCUGCGCAAAGUAUUUGGACUAGAAAUAAAUGCUCAAUAAAUACCACCUGUGGUUGAUCCAAGGGUUAACUGGAGGCGUGCAGUACCCCUGUUCCCCCACCCCAAAAUGUCCCUGCUGUACAAAUGCAGCUUCCCUUAGUUCUGGCUUUCAGCAAGAUUGCCCUACUAAGCCCCUCCUGUUUGUAGAUUCUGGGGCUGCCACUGUCGUGGUUUUGUCAUCAGCAUUGUCCCAAAGGAUGAGGGCUCUGUUGGUCCCAACCUCUUUUCUUCUGAUUCUGGGGGUCCCAGAUCCUAGCACUUUCUCUAUCCCCUUGCCCUAGAGUAAGCACUCAGAAUGGUUCUGGGCUGUGACAUCAUAGAGCCCCCACCCCAUAAUUGGAGUGGAGGGGCCAUGAGGCUGUGCCAGUGGGUGCUGGCGUGGGUGUGGCUGGCUGGGCUGGGGGCCAUAGAAACAGGUGGGGCACUGUUUGGGGAGCAGUGGGAAGGAAGAAGGCUGUGGGGACUUUGCUGUGGGUCCUAGCACCCAGCCCAAAGCGCGCCAAGACUUUAGUCCUGGGCACAGAGUCCCCAGUCUUCAUAGACAGACCUGAUUUCUUCGAUUACCCAGACUCGGACCAAGCCAAGGUCCUGGCUGUGGCCCGGUUCAUUGGAGAGAGACCUGUCGUCUUUACUCGCUCAGGUGUGAACCGGGGCCUAGGGGAGAACUGCCCAUCACCUCCCACUGGAGGCGAGUCGGAGGUCCCCGUCUCCCCCUCCUUGCCUAGCAGGUUCCAACUCGGAGCUCUUCCAACACAUCCUGGUGGGCGCGCUGGUGCUGGCCUUCUUCUUCCUCCUCUUCCAGUUCUGCACCCACGUGUAAGCCUGCCCUCUGCCCCGACCACACUCGCCUCCACCUUUCUCAAGAGAGGCUGAAGGACCCCAAUCCUGGGGGCAGUGUGUGACCUCCCACCUCUGACCUUCAUGCCCCACAGGAGCUUCCAGAAAGGAGCCUAAAGAGUGGACAAGGGCCCUGGACUCAGCCCAGGUGCCCCAAAUCCUCCCUCCUCUCCUGCUGAUGAAUAAAAGUCCUUGCUUUCUCCUCCCUGA